rnacentral:rRNA from 1 species
CACGUAGUUAGCCGGUGCUUCUUCUGCAGGUACCGUCACAAAAGCUUCGUCCCUGUUGAAAGCGGUUUACAACCCGAAGGCCGUCAUCCCGCACGCGGCGUUGCUGCAUCAGGCUUGCGCCCAUUGUGCAAUAUUCCCCACUGCUGCCUCCCGUAGGAGUCUGGGCCGUAUCUCAGUCCCAAUGUGGCCGGUCACCCUCUCAGGCCGGCUACCCGUCGCCGCCUUGGUAGGCCACUACCCCACCAACAAGCUGAUAGGCCGCGAGUCCAUCCACAACCGCCGGAGCUUUCCAACCCCACCAUGCAGCAGGAGCACAUAUCCAGUAUUAGCACCAGUUUCCUAGCGUUAUCCCAAAGUUGUGGGCAGGUUACUCACGUGUUACUCACCCGUUCGCCACUCGUGUACCCCCGAAAGGGCCUUACCGUACGACUUGCAUGUGUUAAGCACGCCGCAGCGUUCGUCUGAGCAGGAUCACUCU